CCGGGAGCAUGUGGUUUAAUUCGAUGCAACGCGAAGAACCUUACCUACUCUUGACAUCCAGAGAACUUAGCAGAGAUGCUUUGGUGCCUUCGGGAACUCUGAGACAGGUGCUGCAUGGCUGUUGUCAGCUCGUGUUGUGAAAUGUUGGGUUAAGUCCCGCAACGAGCGCAACCCUUAUCCUUUGUUGCCAGCGAUUCGGUCGGGAACUCAAAGGAGACUGCCAGUGAUAAACUGGAGGAAGGUGGGGAUGACGUCAAGUCAUCAUGGCCCUUACGAGUAGGGCUACACACGUGCUACAAUGGCAUAUACAAAGAGAAGCGACCUCGCGAGAGC
rnacentral:rRNA from 1 species